AAAACCAUUUUCUAGAAAUGUUAUUGGGGAGACCACCUUAAUGGCUUCCUCUCACUCCUCUACCUGUCUCCCCGAUUCACCUCCCUUCUCUUCCCCUCCAAUUCAAUUUUCUCUCUCCUCCGUGUUGCCGCGCCAUAACGGCUGCUUCAUCGCCUCCCCUUCUGGCUGGUCGCUGCUGAUGGGGUUCUUUUUGUUGUUGUUGUUGUUGUUGCGCUAUUGUUGUUGGUGUUCCUUCGCUCUCUCUCUCUCACGUUCUCGCUCCCAGUACCGCCGACGAUGGUGGUCUCGAAUUUCCGUCUUCGACAACCCACCACUCAAUUAGGGUUAAAAGGAUUCUGAGCCUCAACAUGCUGCAGGAGUUUAGGUUCAUGUACAAGCUGGAUUGGGGAUCAGAAUUGUAACUCUUAGCAAGUCUAGGAUGGACCGUCGAAGUUGGCCAUGGAAGGAAAAGUCAAGUCGGCUGUAGAGAAGGUGCCACCCUAGAUUAUCCAGGGUCGUGCUAGCUUCUUGUGGAUCUCAGUUAUAUAAGAUGCAGAAAACUCCUUUAUGUUAAGGCAUGAAGCCGAUCACCAAAUUGGAAGCGGAUGAAGAAAAUAACAUUUUAUAAUUGGAUUUAUAGUUCUAAAGGAGAACUUUUUUUCCCUGCCGUAUUUGGUUUUAAUAGUUAGUCAUGUACUUAUUUUGAUGCUAAUAUAUGUAGUUCGCCAGUGACAUUUUCCAAGGUAUCAAACCACUGAUUAUGUAAUGACUUUAUUUAUUUAUUAAUUCAGAUAUUUUUAUUUUGGAGCUAAUAAA